CAGAACACAUACCUGUCCUCCUCAGACACAGGUAAUACAGAACACAUACCUGUCCUCCCCAGACACAGGUAAUAAAGAACACAUACCUGUCCUCCUCUUCCUCAGACACAGGUAAUACAGAACACAUACCUGUCCUCCUCAGACACAGGUAAUACAGAACACAUACCUGUCCUCCUCUUCCCCAGACACAGGUAAUACAGAACACAUACCUGUCCUCCUCUUCCUCAGACACAGGUAAGACAGAACACACACCUGUCCUCCUCUUCCUCAGACACAGGUAAUACAGAACACACACCUGUCCUCCUCUUCCUCAGACACAGGUAAUACAGAACACACACCUGUCCUCCUCUUCCUCAGACACAGGUAAUACAGAACACACACCUGUCCUCCUCUUCCCCAGACACAGGUAAUACAGAACACACAUCUGUCCUCCUCUUCCUCAGACACAGGUAAUACAGAACACAUACCUGUCCUCCUCUUCCUCAGACACAGGUAAUACAGAACACAUACCUGUCCUCCUCUUCCUCAGACACAGGUAAUACAGAACACACACCUGUCCUCCUCUUCCUCAGACACAGGUAAGACAGAACACACACCUGUCCUCCUCUUCCUCAGACACAGGUAAUACAGAACACACACCUGUCCUCCUCUUCCUCAGACACAGGUAAUACAGAACACACACCUGUCCUCCUCUUCCUCAGACACAGGUAAUACAGAACACAUAAAUGUCCUCCUCUUCCUCAG